GAUAAAAUCCCAUAGAAAUUUGUAAAAAGGUGACAGAUAAGACUUGAUAGGGAAACCUUUAGAAGUCAGGGGCAUUGUUUGAUCAGUAUAGGCCAUGGUUUUAAACAGAUCAAUAGUGUAUUGAGAAGAGGUGUAACACCCCGACCCCAAAUCUCCCCAUAUUUUACCCUUAUUUAAUUAUUUAAUUAUUUAAGGGUAUUUUAGUCAUAUUUUUAACCGGAGAGAGUUUGGGACCGUGACUUGUAUUUUUGGAUAGGUCGUACUGAGACGAGUUCAUAGACACGUAGUGGGCUCGAAUCGGAGUUGUAACGAGAGAGAUAUGGUCAAAAGAAGCCCAGUGGCAUAAUCGUAAAUAUUUCAAAAUGGGAUUUUUUAUAAAAUCUGAUUUUUCUAUCUCUCUCUCUCUCUCUCUCUCUCUCUCUCUCUCUCUCUCUCUCCCGCGACCUCUCCCUCUCUCCCGUCAGCUCUCCCUCUCUCUCUCCUCACAACUCCAGCCACCGACCACGGCUGUGGAUGGGGCCGGUACCAAAAUGACCGGGGCGUCGUCCUCUUCCAGCCCAGCCGUCUCCCGCCUCCAGCCGCCGCGGUUUCGCCGGAAAAUGGAGGAGAAGCGGCCGGGGUCGUCCGAUCUUCGCCGCCGUCGAUCUCCCUCCUCCGGCCACCAAAUCCGACGAGCAAGGUAUGGUUUCUCACCUAUUUUUCAUGCUCUAGCUGCCUGUUGGGUAGGAUUAGAUCGAUUCUUAGUGUAGACAACUCGAUUUUCGAAUUGAAAAUCGGCCAAACUUCGGCCGCCGUGAUCGGCCAUUUUCGGCCACUUUUUGGGGUAGGUCCAAGAACAAAAGUGGCUCCAAAUAGGGUGUUAUACCUAGGGUAGGAGUUUGGAGCCGUGGUUUUGAGAUUUUCCGACAAAGCGUUAUCGCUUUGGGCACCCACGCGCUGCCGGCGCGUGCGGCGGCGCGUGGGCACUGUAGAAAAGUAGCAAUGUGUUCCGAUGAGAUCCUUAGGUUGUCACGAGUGCGUAGGAUUUUGCGGAUCUCAAUUCGAACGUCGUUUGACUAUCGAACGGAUAUUCGCAUAUUGUGCGUUAUCCGGGUUCGAUAGGUUGGGACCGUUGGAUGGUCCCAAGUUUAAUAUAUGUUAAUCUAGGUAUUUCUAGGAUCGUGUAGGAAUUCACGGAUCGUAAAUCGGAGCCCCGGAUGUUCCGAAUAAUAAUUUUAAAGUUUAUAUUUUAUAUUAACCGUCAGAUCGUGCGAUCGUGAGCGAUCCGACCGUCCGAUCUGAACCAAACUUGCAGGACAAGUGUCCUGUACCUGGUAGAACCCAUAGGGACUUUCUGAUCGGAAAUUGGAGGUCGUGGGUUCCGCAGGUCCGUUUGACCAGGGUUAGAGUAGUUUGACCCUUGGUUGACCGUGAGUCUCCCGGAGUAAUCUCACCUUUCCAAGGGAGAUUAUGGAGUGCUAUACGUACUACUUUAGGUACCUCCCCGGAUGUUGGAUUCACUACAAGUACCACCAAGUGAAAAUUAGGUCCCGCGUGGCGUAGGUUAUCCGGCGUUGGGACAGGCCCCAUCCGUGGCAUUGGUUGUACCGGCGUAUGGGGAGAUAUGUAAUAUGAUGUUCAAGUCUCACGUGGCGUAGGUUAUCCGGCGUUGAGACAGGCCCCAUACGUGGCGUUGGUUGUACCGGCGUAUGGGGAGAUUUGUGAUAUGAAUAUUGAGGUCUCGCGUGGCGUAGGUUAUCCGGCGUUGGGACAGGCCUCAUACGUGGCGUUGGUUGUACCAGCGUAUGGGGAGAUAUUAUGAUAGUAUGGCAUGGUCGCACGUGGCAUAGGUUAUCCGGUGUGUUGACAGGCCCCAUACGUGGCGUUGGUUGUACCGGCGUAUGGGGACAUUAUAUGAAAUCCAGAGAAAUGAAAUAAGGUAUCGCCCAAGUGUGGAAUUGGGUUCUAGGGAAGAACUACGUGUGGCUUGAUCCCUCAAGGAGGGUACGUAGGCAGCCUAAGGUUAUUAGGUGCAGCCGCAGACUAAAUAUUAGUCAUAAUUUGUAUUUGAAUUGUAUGGUGGUUGUUUGAGAAUUAUUGGAAGGCCGAAGGCCAUUUAUGAGAAUUUGCAUGAAAUUAUAUUGUGCAUGCUGCCAGUUGGGAAUAUUAAAUGCGUUUUCAUGCAGGUAUAAAUUUUGGGAAAUGUCCAAUUUAUCGGGGAGACUCUGCCGAAUUUUCGGCAGGAAGUCUCGGUUUUUAGUAUUUGGGCCUGGCAUCGGGAGGAUGUCGGGAAUUCCAAAGGGUUCGCCUCGGGUUCUGAAAAAUUCGGGGCGGGUCCUUUCAAGAGGCAAGGGCAAAUUGAUCAGAAUCAAAACCAGGGCAAGACUGAAAACCUAAAACCCUAUUAAUCACAGAGGGUUUCAGAGUAAUGGGCACAGAACGAACAACACACUGAUAAUUAGACCCCUUAGGAUCAGCAGGAAAAUUCUAGUAAAACUCCUUAACAACAGAAGCAUUGAACUUACCAGACAGAGUGUUGAGAGAUUGGAGAUGGUAGUGCUCAAAAAUCUGAGUUGCAGAACCCUGGGCCGCCAAGGGGAGAUCAUCAAGUUGGUAAGUUCUCUCAGGCACAAAUUUCCUCUUAGAGACAACACCAUCAAAGAACGAGGCCGCCUCAGGAGACACAAAUGGGGAGGAGUCUCCAGCGGGAACAGAGGGAGAAGAACGAGUCCUAGAAGCCCUAGGAAUGGAGGGCAUAAAAUCCGCUCUGUCAGUGGACUUGGAUUUGGAGCGACGCUAGUAAGUGAGGAAAGGCGCGGAGGACGACAUGGUGUAUAGCGGGAAGAGAACGGAAGAGAAAAAAAAUGCAGAGGGAAGAAGGGGCGAAAGGGACUAACACAGAGGGAGAAGGGGAAGCGAGGCUUGGGUCUGUGUCAGAAGAGAACAGAGAGAGAACGGGAGAGAAAAAGAGGACGAACAAAGAGGAGGGAAACAGACCUAAAGAAGAAAAAGAAAAGAAAAACGAAAACGGACCCCAAGAAAAAAAAUUAAAAAAAAAUAACCGCAGAAGGCGUAUCGUUCAGUGAGGACUUAGUCAACCAUAAGGAGCAUGAUGACUAGUCAACCCAGGCAAUAACAAAACACAAGCAGAACUAGAUGACUAGGCAACCAAAAGAAUGACGACUAGGCAACUAAGGCAAUACCAUGACGAGCAUCAAAUAUAACACAACCGGAUGACUAGGCAACCACAAGCAUAGAUGACUAGUCAACUAAAGCAAUAUCAAGAGACGCAUCAAAGAUAGUAUCGACCCUGUGGAAGACAAGAUUGUGGGUUUGGAAGAGAAAAAGAAAACAAACAUGAACUAGCAAAUAUAUCAAGUGAUCAACGAUGUAUUAGCUACUAUAGCCUAGUCCAAGUCUUCAAGCACAGGAAGGAACAGAAAGAGAAGAAAACCAGAUGUGCAAACAAAAACAAGUGCAACUAACUCUGACAGAUAGAAAAUGAAUUAGAUUUUAUGCUCAGAGAUAAGGCAAAAUGGACAGAGGAGGUUCAGAGCCAAAAGAGGAACACAAGAGAUGAAUACCCCUCCUGGAGAGACAAGUAUGAAAUAAACCUUCAAGACAAACUCAAGGAAUAAACCCAACCUAUUUGAUUUUCAUCACUCAAUCUGGACAUUUAUUAUUCUUGUUAUUUGCACAUCCCAGACUUAAGUGCUUAAGUGGACCAAUUUUGCGGCUCUUGCUCUAGAUUCUUCAAUCAUAACACCUUAU
rnacentral:lncRNA from 1 species